AGCGUCUCCACAGCAAGAUUCCAAGCAAAGAUCCCUAUGAUUCAGAUAGUUUGGAGCAGAGCUUCUACGGGAUAAAUGUGGUUUUUUUCUGACUCAUAGGAAUCAUCACUCCAACAAAACCUUCACUGGGUAUGUGCUGUUAAUAGAAUGACUAUGUCCAUUCCUAGUCAUACUAAAUACUCUUUUCCUGGAGGGAAGGAAGGAAAAAAAGGAACAGGUAACGAGACAUCUCCUCUGCCCCAGGUCUCCCUUCUGACGGUGCAAUAUUGCUACAAGCCUUCAUUUCCACAUCCGGGGAAAGGAGCAGUCGUAAGGCAGACUGUUAGCUGUUGCAUCAUCAACAGAUGGCGUUUGCUUUUCUCUCCCGCUUUCCUGAAGGUUCUCCUGUAAAGCCCCUGGCCAGAAAUUUGGUUUGCAACAGGGAAGAACAGCCCCAGACCCUCAUGAAAAGGACUCUACCUGGUAUUUUUGACAACUGAUAUUUCAUGGAAUAGACCUAGGAGCUGGUAUCGCUUAGAAAAUUGUCAGAGGGACACAGGAUUUCCAGGAUGCUUUUGAAUUCGUUACGAGAUAAUUUAUGAAAGCCAAGAAUCAAUUAAGAAUGACUGGAUGGCAGUUCCCAUCGUGGCUCAGCGGAAACAAAUCCAGCUAGGCACCAUGAGGUUGAGGCUUCAAUCCCUGGCCUUUCUCAGUGGAUUAAGGAUCUGGCAUUGCCAAGAGCUGUGAUAUAGGCUGCAGACGGGGCUUGGAUCUGGCGUUGCUGUGGCUAUGGUGUAGGCUGGCAGCUAUAGCUCUGAUUCAAUCCCAUAUGCCUCUAGUGUGGCCCUCAAAAGCAAANAAAAAAAAAAAAAAAAAAAAAAAAAAAAAGAGAGAGAGAAUGGAUGAACUCAAGAGGAACUUCUUACUGGCAUUAUUUAUUUUGGAAGAAUGUUUACCACGUUUUUAAUAUUCUCUUUUCUGAAGGCUCCCUGAGAAAGCCCUUUUUCUUUUUUCUCAAUAGAUUCCUUUUUUCCUUAUAAUUGUGAUAAAAUAUGCCUAAUACAAAAUUUGCCACUUUAACUAUUUUUACAUGUACAGUCCAGUGGCAUUAAUUACAUUCAUAAUGCUGAGCAAACACCACCAUAUCUACUUCCAAAAUUUUUUCAUUACUCCAAACAGAAACUCUGUACCAAUUAAACUCUGCAUCCCCUCAACUUUGCCCCCAGCCCCUGGUAACCUCUAAUCUAUUUUCUGUCUCUAUGAAUUUGUCUACUCUAGAUGUUUCAUACAAGUGCAGUCAUAUAGUAUUUGAUAUUUCAUACAAGUGCAAUCAUACAGUAUUUGAUAUUUCCUAUAAGUGCAAUCAUACAGUAUUUGAAUUUGUCUAGAUAUUUCAUAGAAGUGCAAUUAUACAACAUUUGACAUAAAAUAUCAUUAUGCUAUUGUUUCACUUAGCACAAUGAUUUCAGGCUUCAUUCAUGCUGCGACACCCAUCAGAGCUUUGCUUUUUGUGGGUGAAUAAUAUUCCACUGUAUCUAUAGAUAAUAUUUUACAUAUCCAUUAAUCUGUUGAUAGACACUUAGAUUGUUUCCAGCUUUUGACUAUUAUGAAUAAUGCUGCAAUGGGCAUUUGUGCUAAAACGUCUGUUUGAUUUGAGUCUCUGGAAUUCUUUAGGGGUAUCGAUUUAGGAGAGGAAUUGUUAGGUUAAUCCGUGAUCUAUGUCUGACCUCAUCUUAAUAACUGUGUGCUUGCAUUAUGUUCUCUCUGGCUUCUCAAAAUUCAGAAACAAGUAUUUUUAUUGAGUUUCUUCACUUUUAAUGGCAAUGUAGUUGGUUCUACUUGUUCAAUAAAACUAAUCAGAAU
rnacentral:lncRNA from 1 species